ensembl:snRNA U1 U1 spliceosomal RNA
AUACUUACCUGGCAGGGGAGCUACCAUGAUCACAAAGGUGGUUUUCCCAGGGCAAGGCUGAUCCAUUGCACUCUGGGACCUGCUGACCCCUGCGACUUCCCCACAUGUGAGAAAUUUAACUGCAUAAUUUGUGUUGGUGGGGGUUGCAUGUGCAAUUUCCCC